ACAUACGACCAUAGACUGAGGAAACCUGGGCAUCCCGUCCGCUCUGCCAUACAUAAGUCUCAGAUCGGCGGAUUAGUAGUUGAGUGGGUGACCAUCAGCGAAUACCCGCUGUUGUAUGUU
rfam:Phialocephala scopiformis strain CBS 120377 unplaced genomic scaffold LY89scaffold_9, whole genome shotgun sequence.